UACGGAGGGUGCAAGCGUUAUCCGGAAUCAUUGGGUUUAAAGGGUCCGCAGGCGGUCUGAUAAGUCAGUGGUGAAAGCCUAUUGCUCAACAAUAGAACUGCCAUUGAUACUGUUAGACUUGAAUUAGGUCGGAGUGGGCGGAAUAUGACAUGUAGCGGUGAAAUGCUUAGAUAUGUCAUAGAACACCGAUAGCGAAGGCAGCUCACUAGCCCUAAAUUGACGCUCAUGGACGAAAGCGUGGGGAGCAAACAGG
rnacentral:rRNA from 2 species